AUUUUGGUCCGCAUUCAACAUUCCGCUGUUCGACCUAUAGAGAAACAGUACUGUGGAUUGUUUGUCAAUAUCUUGGAGUUAGUUGAUUUUUACCAACAUUUAUAUGUAAAGCAAUUGUUUUACAAUGACACAAAAAAUUAAAAAAAUAUCCUGAUUAUAAACGUAUCAGAGUGUUUUGUAUAUAUAUAAAAAACGUACUGAUAAAAUAAUACUGACAAAAAGAACAUCAUAUAUGUAGUAUAAUGCUACUUUUAUAUGCAAGUGAGGAAUUCCAUCUGUUUCGUUAGAAAAAAGAUUGUUUGAAAUUUUUACAUUAUAAAAAAUAUUUAGACUUUUCAUAAUUAAGAUUUUAUUAAUUAUACAUUAUCAUGGAUAUUUAAUACAAAUACCUGUUUUAUAAGUGAAAAAGUAAAAAUUUGUAAUAUAAUAACAAAAAAAGACGGAUAACCCUUAUUAUAUAAAAAGUUCCAUAAAUUGGUACUUAUCGAUACAUUUUUAAAGAUGUACCUCAGAAUGUCACAACAAAGAGAUAUAGAUGGUUUAUAUAAUAAAAAUGAAUACAUCCGACAAUUGUGUAUCUUGUUUAGUUGAUGCACAGAAUAUUCUCUUAGGCAAUUGUCUAUUUUCUUUAUUGCAUAUCUUUAUUCUUGCUCUUUUGGAGCAAUCUCAUUGUCAUAAAGUAUCCAGUGUUCAUAAAAUCACUUUUAAUGAGGCUGAAAGCACGUAUAGGAAGGCAAACUCUCUUUUGAGAAGUUACAGUGUUCUACAACUGACUUUCAUGAACAAUGAACCAUUCGGGAAGUGGAAAACGUCAGGCGAAGGUUUUGGAAGAAAACUAUUGGGACUGCAGUGUCUGCACGUAUAGAAAUACCGCAGAAGCAUUUAAGUGCCUCAUGUGUGACGUCCGUAAAGGAACUUCUACGCGGAAACCCCGCAUUAAUCCCCAACUUGUAGCACAACAGGUUGCACAGCAACAAUACGUACCACUUUUAAAACCAGGAAAAAAGGAAGGUGGAAGUGGAGGUAGUACAACUAGUAGUGGUAAAGAAAAAGAUCGUAAAUUGGACAAACCAAGACGUAAAAAUAGGCAUCCACCCCGUCUCAAAAAUAUAGAUCGUAGUACAGCCCAGACCAAUGAAGUGACAGUAAAUAAUGUUACUGUCGUUAUUACAGAAUAUAAGCCCAAAGUGAAAAAAAGUUCAGAUCAAUCUGGUUUAUCUAGCAGUGCUUCUUCUGAAAAUGGAAGUCAGCAUGAUUCUAAUCAAGACUCUAGAAGUCUGGAUAUAGGAACAGAUGCUUAGCUCAGUGCUAUAUCACAUAUGUGUAUGAAUUAAUCUAAUUAAUAUAUUAUAUAAUGUUACAUAACAUUCAAUGAGGUCAGAUGUUUUAUGCUAUCAGUGGAAUCAUUGAAUUAUGUCUUCAAUAUAAUCUAAGAAAUAUGUCAUAUAAUGUUGCUACAUACUGACAUCAAAAUUGUCUGUUUCAAUGACAGUAAUCUUGACAUCUAAAAGCAACAGCAAAAAUAAUUUUAUUUAUGCAACUUUGGAUAUUACUUAUUCUACUUAAUAUUAUAUAUAUUGACUGUAAAAAUGCAUUAUAUGCCUUAAUAUGGCAAAUGGAAUUUGAUACAUUCAUUGUUGACAUAACAAUGUCCACGUGACUUUCAUUGAAUCUAUAACACCACUGCCAGAAAGCAUGUUGUAAGAUUAUUGUUAAUUAGAAUAUUUUAACGAACUCAUUUAUGUAUAAUAUGAGGUAUUUAACUUGUUUAUUUAAUAAUGACUAUGAAAAAAUUAAAAAACUGGCAUUGGUACGUAUAUACCUUGAUCCCAUUCCAAAAUUAUCUAUAAAUUUGAUCUGUUCCAAGCUUUAUAUUUUAAUAGCAAUUAAUUUCACUAAUGCAAAAAUCUUUAAUUUAAAUAU